GGAUGAACGCUGGCGGCGUGCCUAAUACAUGCAAGUCGAGCGAACAGACGAGGAGCUUGCUCCUCUGACGUUAGCGGCGGACGGGUGAGUAACACGUGGAUAACCUACCUAUAAGACUGGGAUAACUUCGGGAAACCGGAGCUAAUACCGGAUAAUAUAUUGAACCGCAUGGUUCAAUAGUGGAAGACGGUUUUGCUGUCACUUAUAGAUGGAUCCGCGCCGCAUUAGCUAGUUGGUAAGGUAACGGCUUACCAAGGCAACGAUGCGUAGCCGACCUGAGAGGGUGAUCGGCCACACUGGAACUGAGACACGGUCCAGACUCCUACGGGAGGCAGCAGUAGGGAAUCUUCCGCAAUGGGCGAAAGCCUGACGGAGCAACGCCGCGUGAGUGAUGAAGGUCUUCGGAUCGUAAAACUCUGUUAUUAGGGAAGAACAAAUGUGUAAGUAACUAUGCACGUCUUGACGGUACCUAAUCAGAAAGCCACGGCUAACUACGUG
rnacentral:rRNA from 1 species